rnacentral:rRNA from 1 species
GACGAACGCUGGCGGCGUGCCUAAUACAUGCAAGUAGAACGCACAGUUUAUACCGUGGCUUGCUACACCAUAAACUGUGAGUUGCGAACGGGUGAGUAACGCGUAGGUAACCUGCCUGGUAGCGGGGGAUAACUAUUGGAAACGAUAGCUAAUACCGCAUAAUAUUAAUUAUUGCAUGAUAAUUGAUUGAAAGAUGCAAUUGCAUCACUACCAGAUGGACCUGCGUUGUAUUAGCUAGUAGGUGAGGUAACGGCUCACCUAGGCGACGAUACAUAGCCGACCUGAGAGGGUGAUCGGCCACACUGGGACUGAGACACGGCCCAGACUCCUACGGGAGGCAGCAGUAGGGAAUCUUCGGCAAUGGACGAAAGUCUGACCGAGCAACGCCGCGUGAGUGAAGAAGGUUUUCGGAUCGUAAAGCUCUGUUGUAAGAGAAGAACGGGUGUGAGAGUGGAAAGUUCACACUGUGACGGUAUCUUACCAGAAAGAGACGGCUAACUACGUG